rnacentral:rRNA from 1 species
UACGGGGGGGGCAAGCGUUGUUCGGAAUUACUGGGCGUAAAGGGCGCGUAGGCGGUUGGAUAAGUCAGCUGUGAAAACCACGGGCUUAACUCGUGGCCUGCAGUUGAGACUGUCUGGCUUGAGUGUGGGAGAGGAGGGUGGAAUUCCUGGUGUAGCGGUGAAAUGCGUAGAUAUCAGGAGGAACACCGGUGGCGAAGGCGGCUCUCUGGACCACAACUGACGCUGAGGCGCGAAAACGUGGGGAGCAAACAGG